rnacentral:lncRNA from 1 species
CAUUGGAGAUAGAAAACUCUGAAGGAAGCUUUAUCUAUUCCAGAAUGUCAUAUAGCUGGUAUAAGAAAGAACACUAAUCAUUCCUAAGGAAGAAAAUUAACAACGCCGUGAGUUAUAAUAUCUGGCUGAAACUGAAGGAGCUCUGUGUAAUUAAAAGUCCUUUCUGCCCUGCCUGGCCAUGGUUCUGUAUGCAUUGAUGUCUUACAAACUGAAAAAAAAAAAAGUUAUUUUCUCAUCUCCAUUCCCUAGCAUAGACAUAUUACAUGAUGUGGAAUUGAAACAAGAAAAUUGCAUUUUAAUCUUCCACUCAGAACAUAGAAGAAUGAAACAAACAAACAAAAAAUACUCUGUUGUCUUAGUCUACCACAAGCAAAAUCUGGCAGUCUCUUUGCUUUGGUAAUGGCAUAAAUUCCUUGAUUAGCCUAUAGGAUAGCCCAUUGUUCUGCUCUUUUAGUGGAAUAGCUAGCAAUUGCUUUGUCAUUUUUUCCCCAUGGUUCCUACCAUUAGUGUUGGGAGGUUUCUUCUUUGUUUUUUUGAGAAAGAGGAAAAAGUUGUUAUAUUUUCAUAAAAACUUAAAUUUCAUCCAAAAUACUUGAUUUUCAUGAAGAAAGUAAAUAUCUCUGCCCCUAGUAUACAUGUGUGGAAACUUUCAGAACCCUGAAGAUAAAUACAUUUCAAACAAGUGAGUUUGAAAAUAUCAAUAGCAAAAUAGGAAGUAAGCUAAUUAGAGAGGUAAGAACUAGAUGGCUUAGCAUUCCAAUAAUAAUAUAUAACCUUCUUUAAGAGUAAAAUCUUGGUCAAAAGACAGAUGAAAACUCCAAUAAAAUUUCACAACUCAUGGAAAAGUCUAUCUUCGUAAUUCUUUAUGAAGCAAACUAUAUAUAUAUAAAACAUAUAUAUAUAUAUAUUUGAGACAGAGUUUCGCUCUUGUUGCCCAGGCUGGAGUGCAGUGGUGCGAUCUUGGCUCAUGGCAGCCUCUGUCUCCCGGGUUCAAGUGAUUCUCCUGACACAGCCUUGUAAGUGGUUGGGAUUACAGGUGUGUGCUAUCAUGCCCGGCUAAUUCUGUAUUUUGAGUAGAGACGGGGGUUUCUCCACGUUGGUCAGGGUGGUCUCGAACUCCCGACCUCAGGUGAUACCCUCGCCUCGACCUCUCAGAAUGCUGGGAUUAGAGGCUUGAGCCACCACGCCUAGCUGCAAACAUAUUUCUUAUAUUUUCCAACAUCACAAAAUUUUACUGAGCUAUGAUAUGUACUAAAAGCUGAUAAAGAUGGUGUUGUUAUAUUUAACAGUACUCUGAAUUUUGUUGCCAUUUCUAAAAUUGUAUUCAGAGGAAAUUAUGCCCAUGUUUCUAUAGAGAGAAUUUUAAAAAAUACAUGAGCAUAGAAAUUUGAGCAACAUUGAUUAAGGUUCCAUAAAAUUGAAGCAGGAAAUAGUAUAGAAUAUACUUUUGCUCACUCUAUUAAAAUAAGUCUCUCAUAAGUAUGCUUCAGUUAAGUUCGAAGGGUAGGAAAAUUAACCUGGAACGGGGCAUUCAGAUAUAAGUAAGUUUAUUUUGGAGAAAUUUCUAUGUCAGCUGAGAUUAUUUUCUAUAAAAACAGAAGAAAGAUGAAUAUCACUAAUGAUAGCACAAACCACUAAUUAGAAGGCAGUAUGUAGAAUUUUUCUGGAAAAAUAAAACUAUAAAUGACAAAUUAAUUUUAGCAGAAAUUGUAAGAAAAUGCAAUGAGGGUAAUAGGAAUGUUAUCUUUGAAUACAAUGGACAGCAAAUUGUAAACUGAAUGUAUUCACUAACACAAAAGAGAAAAUUACUUUUAAUGAUUGCCUAUUGUUUCUCUCUACAUAAAGUUUGAGUUUCAUGUCUGAUGACCUUAUGGCUUUUUAAAUAGACACUUCAUGUGACAUCAUUAAAUUACUUUAUACAGUAUUACUACAUUUCUAUGGUAAAAUUUAAGCAAGAGAUUAAUUUUGAAAGACUUUCAGAGAAAGACUUGUAAAUACAGACAUGAGACAUAAAUCUGAUGUGGGCCUUUGCUUUGUUUUGCUUAUUUUCUUUUAGUUUUUGUUUAAUAAAAAAUUGGGGUUUGUAAAAGUUUAGAAUACUCGCAGGAAUGUUGUCUAGCAACAUUUUUGGUUAUAUUAGUAACAUAACUACAUGGAAUAACAGCAAGAAAUUUUCUUCCAUGAAAAAUUAAUUUUCCAUUUCUAUUGCAAGGGGAGAGAAACAACUAAGUGCUGCAUAUAUCCCCCAAAUUAUAUUUAAUUAUUUCAUACUUAAAUUUUCUUUGUUACCACAGCGUAAAGGGUUGUCACAGUGCAAUGGUGGCACCUAUUGGCAUAUGGGAUAUAUGACAUUAAACUGUCUGAAUUUUCCCCAAAUUUUCUCUAUUCAGUGCAUAUAAGUUCUAGAAUUGAAGAACGCAUGGCUAAAAUCAGCACUUUCAAUUUUAAAUGAACAAGUUUAAAAGCCAACACUAAAUGCAAUGUGUAAGGUGGCAUUAGUCAUGGAGGUUUUCUGACCAUGGGACAUUAAAAAUAAUGAGAAGAGAAAACAAUGUCAAUAUUUAUUUCACAAUAAUGCUUUUGUGAAACAGUGAAAUAAUGAAAAAUCAGAAAUAUAGAUAGAUAGAUAGAUAGAUAGAUAGAUAGAUAGAUGCAGAUAUACACCAUAAAGACAUACACUAAUCAGGGAGCUAUUCACUGGAGAGAAAAGAUUAAACUAAUCAGGUUAAUAAUUAUGUAUAUAUAGAAAAGUGAAUCAUAUACCAUAUUUAUAGACUCACCGUGAUGGAUCAGUUUUCUCUAUAUAACAUCCAAGCAUAAAACGUGGAGAAAUCAGCUAAUGAGGAGUUCAGUCAGAUCUACAAAACAAUGAUAAUUGAUUCCUUCUAUAUAAUUUUUCUUCUUAGGCCUGGAUAUAUUGUAUAUAACAUAAUAUUUAAUUUGUACUAUUUAUGAUAUAUAAUGUGCAAUAUAUAAUGUAAAAUCAUAAGAUUAAUUUUGGAACACGCUCUUACGUUAUUGAAACACAGAUUAAUAAUGUAUAUAUUAUAUAUUACUCAUAUAUAUCAUUACUGUAUAUAUAUUACUCAUGCUUUCAGUCACAUGAAGAGAGCUUCUAAGUAUUAAUGUAUGACAUACUAAAAUGAAUGAGCGUUCUCCACAAAACAUACUUUCAUCACCCAAUGAAUAUUUAUAUUAUGUUGCCAAUUACAGAGUAGGAAGUAUUGGAUAUAAAUACUGUUCUCAUGGAGCUUACAGUGUUAAUGCAUUUGUCUUUUAUAUCUAAUACUUAUUAUAUUAUUUCCGUUAUUAUAAUAUAAGGGAAAUGUAUGUUAUAGUAAUGACAAGGAUAAUAACAAUGAUGCAAUGAAAGAGGUGAUCAAGGACAAGGGUUAGAAUGACAAAAAGAGAAAAAUAAGGUAGUGUUAAAUUAUAUGAAGACAAAGUAAGCAAGAGGAGUUGGUAGAUGGAUUGUGGGUGGGGGUGCACAAUGUUAAACAGGUGAUUCAUGUAGUCUCCAGUGAUAUGACAUUCAAGCCAAACCUGUAUUAGGUUAAUCAAUGCUGAAUCCAUUUUUUCUAAUGUGGAGUGAAUAGUGAUAGCACAAUUUCUAGAGGAAAAUUUAGGUUUGGGGUAGAAAUUUAGAAGUCAUCAAAAUAUGUAUUUUAUUUAUGCACAAAAGACUGGAUGAAAGUACUAAAAGAGGGUAAAUGUUUACAGAGAAAAGAAGAGUUCCAAGCGUUCAGUCCUGAAGUACUCCAGCAUUUGUGAGAUUGAUUAAAACAGAAAGAACUAGAAUGAGUGACUUAAAAAAAGAGAAUGUGGUUGUUGGAGAAAACACAGAAGAAUGUGGUAUCUUCCCCAAGAAGAAAGAAUAAAUAAGAAUUUGUGCUAAUGAUUGCUGAUAGACCUAAUAUGAGGAAAACUGAGUGAUUACUAUUGAGUUAUCAAUAUAUGUACACCACUGGUGACCUAGAGAAGUUUGGUGAGUGCCAGAGGCAAACUCCAGAUUGAGCAGAUUCAAGAGGAAAUGGAAACAAGUGAAUAGAAGAAGUGAACAGAGCUAUAAGAGUACAGACAGCUUUAUGUAUGAUCUCUGCUCUAAAGAAGAGCAAGGAGAUUGGGAGGCCGAGGUGGGUGGAUCACCAGGUCAGGAGAUCGAGACCAUCUGGGUUAACACGGUGAAACCCCGUCUCUAUUAAAAAUACAAAAAAUUAGCCGGGCGUGGUGGCGGACGCCUGUAGUCCCAGCUACUCGGGAGGCUGAGGCAGGAGAAUGGCGUGGACCCAGGAGGCGAAGCUCAGUGAGCUGAGAUCGCGCCACUUGCACUCUCAGCC